rnacentral:rRNA from 1 species
GUUUGAUCAUGGCUCAGGACGAACGCUGGCGGCGUGCCUAAUACAUGCAAGUCGAGCGGACAGAAGGGAGCUUGCUCCCGGAUGUUAGCGGCGGACGGGUGAGUAACACGUGGGUAACCUGCCUGUAAGACUGGGAUAACUCCGGGAAACCGGAGCUAAUACCGGAUAGUUCCUUGAACCGCAUGGUUCAAGGAUGAAAGACGGUUUCGGCUGUCACUUACAGAUGGACCCGCGGCGCAUUAGCUAGUUGGUGAGGUAACGGCUCACCAAGGCGACGAUGCGUAGCCGACCUGAGAGGGUGAUCGGCCACACUGGGACUGAGACACGGCCCAGACUCCUACGGGAGGCAGCAGUAGGGAAUCUUCCGCAAUGGACGAAAGUCUGACGGAGCAACGCCGCGUGAGUGAUGAAGGUUUUCGGAUCGUAAAGCUCUGUUGUUAGGGAAGAACAAGUGCAAGAGUAACUGCUUGCACCUUGACGGUACCUAACCAGAAAGCCACGGCUAACUACGUGCCAGCAGCCGCGGUAAUACGUAGGUGGCAAGCGUUGUCCGGAAUUAUUGGGCGUAAAGGGCUCGCAGGCGGUUUCUUAAGUCUGAUGUGAAAGCCCCCGGCUCAACCGGGGAGGGUCAUUGGAAACUGGGAAACUUGAGUGCAGAAGAGGAGAGUGGAAUUCCACGUGUAGCGGUGAAAUGCGUAGAGAUGUGGAGGAACACCAGUGGCGAAGGCGACUCUCUGGUCUGUAACUGACGCUGAGGAGCGAAAGCGUGGGGAGCGAACAGGAUUAGAUACCCUGGUAGUCCACGCCGUAAACGAUGAGUGCUAAGUGUUAGGGGGUUUCCGCCCCUUAGUGCUGCAGCUAACGCAUUAAGCACUCCGCCUGGGGAGUACGGUCGCAAGACUGAAACUCAAAGGAAUUGACGGGGGCCCGCACAAGCGGUGGGGCAUGUGGUUAAUUCGAAGCAACGCGAAGAACCUUACCAGGUCUUGACAUCCUCUGACAACCCUAGAGAUAGGGCUUUCCCUUCGGGGACAGAGUGACAGGUGGUGCAUGGUUGUCGUCAGCUCGUGUCGUGAGAUGUUGGGUUAAGUCCCGCAACGAGCGCAACCCUUGAUCUUAGUUGCCAGCAUUCAGUUGGGCACUCUAAGGUGACUGCCGGUGACAAACCGGAGGAAGGUGGGGAUGACGUCAAAUCAUCAUGCCCCUUAUGACCUGGGCUACACACGUGCUACAAUGGACAGAACAAAGGGCUGCGAGACCGCAAGGUUUAGCCAAUCCCACAAAUCUGUUCUCAGUUCGGAUCGCAGUCUGCAACUCGACUGCGUGAAGCUGGAAUCGCUAGUAAUCGCGGAUCAGCAUGCCGCGGUGAAUACGUUCCCGGGCCUUGUACACACCGCCCGUCACACCACGAGAGUUUGCAACACCCGAAGUCGGUGAGGCAACCUUUAUGGAGCCAGCCGCCGAAGGUGGGGCAGAUGAUUGGGGUGAAGUCGUAACAAGGUA